GACGAACGCUGGCGGCGUGCUUAACACAUGACAAGUCGAACGAAGAUGCCGGAGUGCUUGCACUUUGGCAGACUGAGUGGCGGACGGGUGAGUAACGCGUGGGUAACCUGCCUUAUACAGGGGGAUAACAGUUGGAAACGACUGCUAAUACCGCAUAAGCGCACGGUAUCGCAUGAUACAGUGUGAAAAACUCCGGUGGUAUAACGAUGGACCCGCGUCUGAUUAGCUAGUUGGUGAGGUAACGGCCCACCAAGGCGACGAUCCAGUAGCCGGCCUGAGAAGGGUGAAACGGCCACAUUGGGACUGAGACACGGCCCAAACUCCUACGGGAGGCAGCAGUGGGGAAUAUUGCACAAUGGGGGAAACCCUGAUGCAGCGACGCCGCGUGAGUGAUG
rnacentral:rRNA from 1 species